CUCUCUCUCUCUCUCUCUCUCUCUCCUGUUAUCCAUAUCUCUUUCCCUGUCCUUUGUUCAUGGCACACCGUUGGCCAAACGGAAAUAAAGAAAAGUCAAAACGAAUAUCGUAAGGAAACGAGUCGUCCGAGAACGAACAAUAAACGAAAAAUACAAGCCUCACUCCUCAUCUCGUGACUUGACGAAUGCGUUCCGACGACGUUCGCAUAAACCUAAAAAUUCGUCGAAUAAAUUGUAAAAAUAUACGCGUUUGAAUAUACGAGAGGUAAUACGAACUUAUAUGCUCUACAAAUAUCGUAGAAAUAAAUCCUAAUUACAUAUAUCGAUGAUAUUUGAGGACGUAAAUAAAUAAGGACGUUCUUCUUCGAAGCAGUUUUUCAGUCUCUAGGAAUUUUGGUUGUGGAGAUAACGUCACCAAAAUAUAAAUAUAUAUAUAUAUACGCCUUCAUGAAUCUUCCAAGAAAUCGUGUAGGUCAAUGUAGGUCGCGUAGGUAUCACGUCAGCUUGUUUUAUUUAUAUAGAAAUAUCUCGUCAUAGUUUAGAAUCAAAGUGACUUCCAACGACGACUGUUGUAGAGGACUACGAUCUCUCUUUUCAUUUAAUAGUUCGGCGGCACUUUUUAGUUAUCUCACAGAAAUUGGAAUCGACAGAUAGCAGAAAUCCAAUUUACGAUCCGGCCAACCGGAAUCGGACGAUAUGAAAUUUUGGAUAACUCUUGCGUAUAAUUUCGCCUGGAAUGAGUUUAUUCGUUUCCAAAAGAUAAAUUUUUUCAAUCGAAUGCUAGUGACAAAAGAGAAAGAGAGAACACGAAUAAGAGUGAGAGAGAGAGAGAUAAAGAGAGAUCGGAAAAAAGUAUUGCAUCCGACGGAGCGAAUCUCAUACACGAUUCAUCAAAAUUAAUGUUCAU